CGCUUUAAAAAGCGCUUUUAAAGCAAGCCGAUUCACGUAAAGGCCACCCAGAAUCAUUUUGGAAUCAGGGAGAUACUAAAUCUCCUGAAUAAUAAUAUACUCAAUAGCUAAGAUACUUGGACAAUUACAAAUAAAGCCAGGAAACAUAUUCAGUGUCCCAGAUUCAGGAACACCAGAAUUUUGAAGCUUCACAUCAGUGUUUGGGCCAAUCUCUGAGGGGAGCAUAUUCGACAGAGCAUGGAUUACUGCAGAAAAUCUUCAAAAUAUACAAUUAAAUAAUAUCCCAAUUGCCUGUAAAAAAAGGAUUUUUAAUGCAGAUUUUUCUAUUCUUUCUCAUAUAAUUAUUUUUUUAAAAAACAUUAUGGCUGUGAUCAUGAAUAAGUAAAUAUUUCUACAACAAUUUUAUUUUCUAGUAAAAAGCUUUAAAAGUGAAAACAUUUGAAAAUA